GGAGGGUGCAAGCGUUGUUCGGAAUUAUUGGGCGUAAAGAGCGUGUAGGCGGUCCGGUAAGUCAGAUGUGAAAGCCCUGGGCUCAACCCAGGAAGUGCAUUUGAAACUACCAGACUUGAGUACGGGAGAGGAGGGGGGGAAUUCCCGGUGUAGAGGUGAAAUCGUAGAUAUCGGGAGGAAUACCAGUGGCGAAGGCGCCCCUCUGGACCGAUACUGACGCUGAGACGCGAAAGCGUGGGGAGCAAACAGGAUUAGAUACCUGGGCAGUCCACGCCGUAAACGAUGAGCACUAGGUGUAGCGGGUAUUGACCCCCCUGCUGUGCCCGUAGCUAACGCAUUAAGUGCUCCGCCUGGGGACUACGGUCGCAAGACUA
rnacentral:rRNA from 1 species